rnacentral:rRNA from 1 species
UACAGAGGUGGCAAGCGUUGUUCGGAAUUACUGGGCGUAAAGGGCGCGUAGGCGGCCUUCUAAGUCAGACGUAAAAUCCCCCGGCUUAACCUGGGAACUGCGUCUGAUACUGGGAGGCUUGAGUAUGGGAGAGGGAUGUAGAAUUCCAGGUGUAGCGGUGAAAUGCGUAGAGAUGUGGAGGAACACCAAUUGCGAAGGCAGCUCGCUGGGACGUUACUGACGCUGAGACGCGAAAGCGUGGGGAGCAAACAGG